UCAGGAUAGUCAUUCAUUAGCGUGUCGGUUCGCAGGUGGAUGGUGAAUUUAAAGAUCGACUAAGCAUGUAGUACCAAUGAUGAAAGGUUUUCGGACGCGGGUUCAACUCCCGCCAGCUCCACCA
rnacentral:tmRNA from 1 species